GGGGCUAUCGUCUAGCUUGGCAGGAUACCAUCCAAUUUUGGGUAUAAGCCCGGGGCGCUGGCGGUCGAGGGUUCGAAUCCCUCUGGCCCCA
rnacentral:tRNA from 1 species